GAUGAACGCUGGCGGCGUGCCUAAUACAUGCAAGUCGAGCGAACAGACGAGGAGCGUGCUCCUCUGACGUUAGCGGCGGACGGGUGAGUAACACGUGGAUAACCUACCUAUAAGACUGGGAUAACUUCGGGAAACCGGAGCUAAUACCGGAUAAUAUAUUGAACCGCAUGGUUCUAUAGUGAAAGACGGUUUUGCUGUCACUUAUAGAUGUAUCCGCGCCGCAUUAGCUAGUUGGUAAGGUAACGGCUUGCCAAGGCAACGAUGCGUAGCCGACCUGAGAGGGUGAUCGGCCACACUGGAACUGAGACACGGUCCAGACUCCUACGGGAGGCAGCAGUAGGGAAUCUUCCGCAAUGGGCGAAAGCUUGACGGAGCAACGCCGCGUGAGUGAUGAAGGUCUUCGGAUCGUAAAACUCUGUUAUUAGGGAAGAACAAAUGUGUAAGUAACUAUGCACGUCUUGACGGUACCUAAUCAGAAAGCCACGGCUAACUACGUG
rnacentral:rRNA from 1 species